rfam:Cavia porcellus supercont2_3 genomic scaffold, whole genome shotgun sequence.
GGGGAUUUAGCUCAGAGGUAUAAGCGCCUGCCUGGCAAGCAGGAGGCCGUGAGUUUGAUCCCUA